rnacentral:tRNA from 1 species
UGCCGGGUAGUGUAAUGGCAACACGGUUGGUUCUGGUCCAACAGCUCGGGGUUCGAUUCCCUGCCCGGCAA